CACACACUCCACUUCCUAACGGAUAAGGAAAAUUAUGCCUGAUCGGACCAGAAAUUAUUAUAAAUAGGGAAAUAUCAAAAAAAUAAUAAGAAGAAUUAUUUAAAAUUUUAAUUACAAACUCAUAAACAUAUUAAUGAUUUAAGCACUAAAUUAUGCAAAUGGGUGAUAUACUUUUAUGAAUUUGUAAUUAUUUUUCUACUUCUCAUUUUUUUUAUUUUUUCCCUUAUACAUAAGGGUUUAUUUAUUUAUUUAUUUUAAAAGUCACUUCCAUUUAAAAGUUCAAGCACAAAAUUUUUUUAAAAAAUUGAAAUGAGUUUGGAUCAUUUACCCAUCUUAGGAGUAUAAAUUAGAGGAUCAAGUGAUACUUCCUUAAUUAUAUGAUGUAACACAGAUAAGAGUCAAAUAUGAGUAGAACAUGUGAAAAGUAAACUUAUUAUCUACGCUACUCUCAGAAUAAAAGUAGAUGCACCAAUUAUUUAUUUUUUGUUUUUAAUAGUGAGGAACUAUGUCUUUGUUUUUUAGCCCAUCAUAGAAGCGUAAUCUCAAGAAUCAAGCAACACUUCUUAAAAGAUGCUGCUUUCUUGAAAUUUUUGACAUUUUAACUUUCUAAUUAUUAUUUUUGACUUUUUUUAUUAAAAUAAUUACUUGCCAAACGACUCUUAAGUUUGUUACGAAGUUGUUUGUUAUGUCAAUUUAUUUUGGUAAAAUAUAUAUAUAUAUAUAUAUAUAUUUGUUAGGUUAUUGUUGUAUGUUAUUUGUUUUGAUAUUCUUUUUUUUCAAAAAAAAAAAAUUAACAAGGUAAAACUUUAAUAGAUUGAUCGGUUCAGUUCCAAAAAAAACCCCACUCAAACUUAAUCUUAGUGUAAUUUAUUGAGUUCAAAUUGGGCUUAUUAGAGAGUUUUCAAAAAAAACUAUGUAUUCAAAAAUAUAUAUUUCAAAAAAAUAUCUAAAAUUUGAAUAUAUGAUGUAACUUUAAAUUUGAUAUGGUGACAGUCACAUUCAAAAUGAAUUUGAUCGACAUAGCAUAAGAGAGAAGAGAAUGUCUAGCAUGAGAGAGAAGUGCUUGCAGGGAAGAAGAGAAGGCCUAGCAUGAGAGACAAGUGCCUAUCAGUUAGCCAAGGAGAUUACCUCAAACCGAACAAGGAGGUUCCAAUGUAUAGGAAAAUGCCCAUCACAGAAUUGAAUACAAAAUAUAUAUAAACAAAUAAGAUUUUCUAAAACUAGACCCUAUUAACAAACCUUAUAAAAUCUUAUCCAUUCAUGUUAUGAGAUCCAUUUCCUUAUUGGUAAGAGAACUAAAUAUAUAAACAUAUGGUGUGCUUCAACACCCCUUUGAUGGAGGAGGCAAGUCAUCCUUGGCUACCAAACAGGACUCUUAUCUUCAUGGACACAAUAUGCAUCUAGUUCAUGUCAUAAACAUGGAGUUAUCUAAUG